rnacentral:lncRNA from 1 species
GAAAGAUUGCCUCUGCAAAUCAACCCACGUUAGUUCUAGAAAAUUCUAUGAAGAAUACUUCAACAAAAUCCCAAGGCAAAGUUCGCCAGACAGUUGGUUCCAAGCUUCCAACACCAGGAACUCCUCGCCGACUAGGGGAUGGAUCAGCAAUCAGCCAAAAGCCACAGGCACAACCUCUACCCGAAUGGAAUAGAGGAAACGGCCUUGAUGAGGCUGUUGACUUGGCUGAAAUGUUGCGACUGCAAUCACAAGAUUGGUUUUUGGGGUUUGUGGAGAGGUUCCUGGAUGCUGAUGUGGACACUUCAGCUCUGUCAGAUAAUGGUCAAAUAGCAGGAAUGCUAACACAGCUCAAGAGUGUGAAUGAUUGGUUGGAUGAUAUUGGUUCUAGUAAAGAUGAAGCAGAAACAAACGCUGUUUCAGCUGAAACCAUUGAGAGGCUAAGGAAGAAGAUCUACGAGUAUCUUCUUACCCAUGUUGAAUCUGCUGCCGCUGCCCUUGGUGGCGGAUCACAGUCAUCACCACGAAUUCGAACAACAGAUACAAAAGUAAGAAAGUGAAUCAAUUAAACCCUAGUUUGGUCGUGUGUGUUUUGGUGUCUGCGGUUGCAUAAAUACAGUGGCAAGCCCUGGAAGCUGUGCCCUCAACCACCAACUUGUCCUAGGAGCUCAGGCCGUUGAUCUAUGUACAUAACUUCACAUGGGUUUGAGGAGGUAUAGAUGGAAGGGUUGUUACUUACAAGAGAGAAUUUGAUUUGAAGUGCAAGGUGUCAUUUCUUUUUUCCAUCGUUUAAUUCAAUUGUUACCUGAAAUUAUACAAGUUUGAAAAAAAUUGGGGAGCGGGGAAUUUUUUGGUUCUUAUAGCAUCCUUGUGAGCAUUAGAGAUUCUUUUUCAAUCUACACAAUUAAUCAGUUAGCUUUGCCAUUUUUUCUCUUUUGAGAAAAUUACUUUUUUUUCAGUAAAUUACUUUUUUAACUUAACCUUUUGUUUUCCAUGUAAAUUUUCUUCAAAUUUUAAAAAAUGUAAUGGCAACCAUGGAAGUGGCCAUUUAUCAUGACAGAGAAAUACCAAGAG